AUUGAACGCUGGCGGCAUGCCUUACACAUGCAAGUCGAACGGCAGCACGGGUGCUUGCACCUGGUGGCGAGUGGCGAACGGGUGAGUAAUACAUCGGAACGUACCUUAUCGUGGGGGAUAACGCAGCGAAAGCUGUGCUAAUACCGCAUACGCCCUGAGGGGGAAAGCGGGGGAUCGAAAGACCUCGCGCGAUUAGAGCGGCCGAUGCCUGAUUAGCUUGUUGGUGGGGUAAAAGCCCACCAAGGCGACGAUCAGUAGCUGGUCUGCGAGGACGAUCAGCCACACUGGGACUGAGACACGGCCCAGACUCCUACGGGAGGCAGCAGUGGGGAAUUUGGGACAAUGGGGGCAAACCUGAUCCAGCAAUGCCGCGUGAGUGAAGAAGGCCUUCGGGUUGUAAAGCUCUUUUGUCAGGGAAGAAACACCGGCUCUAACACAGUCCGGGAAUGACGGUACCUGAAGAAUAAGCACCGGCUAACUACGUGCCAGCCGCCGCGGUAA
rnacentral:rRNA from 1 species